rnacentral:rRNA from 1 species
GAUGAACGCUGGCGGCGUGCCUAAUACAUGCAAGUCGAGCGAACGGACGAUAAGCUUGCUUCUCUGAUGUUAGCGGCGGACGGGUGAGUAACACGUGGAUAACCUACUUAUAAGACUGGGAUAACUUCGGGAAACCGUAGCUAAUACCGGAUAAUAUUUUGAACCGCAUGGUUCAAAAGUGAAAGACGGUCUUGCUGUCACUUAUAGAUGGAUCCGCGCUGCAUUAGCGAGUUGGUAAGGUAACGGCUUACCAAGGCAACGAUGCAUAGCCGACCUGAGAGGGUGAUCGGCCACACUGGAACUGAGACACGGUCCAGACUCCUACGGGAGGCAGCAGUAGGGAAUAUUCCGCAAUGGGCGCAAGCCUGACCGAGCAACGCCGCGUGAGUGAUGAAGGUCUUCGGAUCGUAAAACUCUGUUAUUAGGGAAGAACAGAUGUAUAAGUAAAUGUGCACGUCUUGACGGUACCUAAUCAGAAAGCCACGGCUAACUUCGUG